GAUUUCGGCUAGAUUAGGGUUUAGAGUGAAGGCAGUGAUGAUUAAAAACUACCUAUUUUAUGAGUAA
rnacentral:sRNA from 1 species